rnacentral:rRNA from 1 species
GACGUAGGGCGCGAGCGUUGUCCGGAUUUAUUGGGCGUAAAGAGCUCGUAGGCGGUCUGUCGCGUCGGCUGUGAAAACUCGGGGCUCAACCCCGAGCCUGCAGUCGAUACGGGCAGACUAGAGUGCGGUAGGGGAGACUGGAAUUCCUGGUGUAGCGGUGAAAUGCGCAGAUAUCAGGAGGAACACCGGUGGCGAAGGCGGGUCUCUGGGCCGAUACUGACGCUGAGGAGCGAAAGCGUGGGGAGCGAACAGG